rnacentral:rRNA from 1 species
GACCUGGCUGAGCGGUCUUGCCGAAAGGUAAGCACUGCUCUGGCCGGGUCUUUCCUUCUGGGGAACCAGCGUGCUCUUAACUGCGUGCGUUGGGGAUCCAGGACUUUUACUUUGAAAAAAUUGGAGUGUUUAAAGCAGGCUUUCAAGCUUGAACAUAUUAGCAUGGAAUAAUGAAAUAGG